UAGGGAAUCUUCCACAAUGGGCGAAAGCCUGAUGGAGCAACGCCGCGUGAGUGAAGAAGGUUUUCGGAUCGUAAAACUCUGUUGUAAGGGAAGAACAAGUACAGUAGUAACUGGCUGUACCUUGACGGUACCUUAUUAGAAAGCCACGGCUAACUACGUGCCAGCAGCCGCGGUAAUACGUAGGUGGCAAGCGUUGUCCGGAAUUAUUGGGCGUAAAGCGCGCGCAGGCGGUCCUUUAAGUCUGAUGUGAAAGCCCACGGCUCAACCGUGGAGGGUCAUUGGAAACUGGGGGACUUGAGUGCAGAAGAGGAAAGUGGAAUUCCAAGUGUAGCGGUGAAAUGCGUAGAGAUUUGGAGGAACACCAGUGGCGAAGGCGACUUUCUGGUCUGUAACUGACGCUGAGGCGCGAAAGCGUGGGGAGCAAACAGGAUUAGAUACCCUGGUAGUCCACGCCGUAAACGAUGAGUGCUAAGUGUUAGGGGGUUUCCGCCCCUUAGUGCUGCAGCUAACGCAUUAAGCACUCCGCCUGGGGAG
rnacentral:rRNA from 1 species